rnacentral:misc_RNA from 1 species
GAUGAAGAACGCAGCGAACUGCGAUACGUAGUGUGAAUUGCAGAAUUCAGUGAAUCAUCGAAUCUUUGAACGCACAUUGCACCUCUCGGUAUUCCGGGAGGUAUGCCUGUUCGAGCGUCAUUUGUACCCUCAAGCUCUGCUUGGUGUUGGGUGUUUGUUCCGCCUCUGUGUGUGAACUCGCCUCAAAACAAUUGGCAGCCGGCGUACUUGUUUCGGAGCGCAGCACAUUUUGCGAUCCAGAUCAACGUACAGCGGCAUCCAAGAAGCCUUAUUUAACGCUCUUGACCUCGGAUCAGGUAGGGAUACCCGCUGAACUUAAGCAUAUCAAUAAGCGGAGGA